UACGUAGGGGGCAAGCGUUGUCCGGAUUUAUUGGGCGUAAAGAGCGUGUAGGCGGCCAUGUAGGUCCGUUGUGAAAACUCGAGGCUCAACCUCGAGACGCCGAUGGAAACCAUAUGGCUAGAGUCCGGAAGAGGAGAGUGGAAUUCCUGGUGUAGCGGUGAAAUGCGCAGAUAUCAGGAAGAACACCGGUGGCGAAGGCGGUUCUCUGGGCCUGUACUGACGCUGAGGAGCGAAAGCGUGGGGAGCGAACAGG
rnacentral:rRNA from 1 species